GUGCUCACUUUGGCAGCACGUAUACUAAAAUUGGGAUGAUACAGAGAUUAGCAUGGUUCCUGCUCGAGGAUGACACGCAAGUUCAUGAAAAUGCCAAGUGAGCAAAAUACUAAU
rnacentral:snRNA from 1 species